GAUAAACGCUGGCGGCGUGCAUAACACAUGCAAGUAGAACGAAGUGGCGAAAGGGUGAGUAACACGUGAGUAACCUGCCUUACACAACGGGAUAGCCCUCGGAAACGAAGAAUAAUAACCUAUAGUGUAAGAUGGACUGGCGUCUGAUGAGCUAGUUGGUGAGAUAAAGGCCCAACAAGGCAACGAUCAGUUGCGGGCUUGAGAGUGUGUACGGCCACUGUGGAACUGAGACACGGCCCCAACUCUACGGGAGGCAGCAGUGAGGAAUUUUGCACACUGGUUGAAACCCUGAUGCGGCCUCGCCGCGUGCUUUAGAAGGCCUUCGGGUUGUAAAAAUCUUUUUUAUGAGAUGCAGUACCUUAAGAAGAAGGUCCGGCUAAAUACGUGCCAGCAGCCGCGGUAAUAC
rnacentral:rRNA from 1 species